UUAAAUUGAAGAGUUUGAUCAUGGCUCAGAUUGAACGCUGGCGGCAGGCCUAACACAUGCAAGUCGAACGGUAACAGGAAGAAGCUUGCUUCUUUGCUGACGAGUGGCGGACGGGUGAGUAAUGUCUGGGAAACUGCCUGAUGGAGGGGGAUAACUACUGGAAACGGUAGCUAAUACCGCAUAACGUCGCAAGACCAAAGAGGGGGACCUUCGGGCCUCUUGCCAUCGGAUGUGCCCAGAUGGGAUUAGCUAGUAGGUGGGGUAACGGCUCACCUAGGCGACGAUCCCUAGCUGGUCUGAGAGGAUGACCAGCCACACUGGAACUGAGACACGGUCCAGACUCCUACGGGAGGCAGCAGUGGGGAAU
rnacentral:rRNA from 1 species